GAGUCUGAAUAGGGCGUUUAGUAUUUGGUCGUAGACCCGAAACCAGGUGAUCUACCCUUGGUCAGGUUGAAGUUCAGGUAACACUGAAUGGAGGACCGAACCGACUUACGUUGAAAAGUGAGCGGAUGAACUGAGGGUAGCGGAGAAAUUCCAAUCGAACCUGGAGAUAGCUGGUUCUCUCCGAAAUAGCUUUAGGGCUAGCCUCAAGUGAUGAUUAUUGGAGGUAGAGCACUGUUUGGACGAGGGGCCCCUCUCGGGUUACCGAAUUCAGACAAACUCCGAAUGCCAAUUAAUUUAACUUGGGAGUCAGAACAUGGGUGAUAAGGUCCGUGUUCGAAAGGGAAACAGCCCAGACCACCAGCUAAGGUCCCAAAAUAUAUGUUAAGUGGAAAAGGAUGUGGCGUUGCCCAGACAACUAGGAUGUUGGCUUAGAAGCAGCCAUCAUUUAAAGAGUGCGUAAUAGCUCACUAGUCGAGUGACACUGCGCCGAAAAUGUACCGGGGCUAAACAUAUUACCGAAGCUGUGGAUUGUCCUUUGGACAAUGGUAGGAGAGCGUUCUAAGGGCGUUGAAGCAUGAUCGUAAGGACAUGUGGAGCGCUUAGAAGUGAGAAUGCCGGUGUG
rnacentral:rRNA from 1 species